rnacentral:rRNA from 1 species
AUACGGAGGGUGCAAGCGUUAUCCGGAAUUAUUGGGUUUAAAGGGUCCGUAGGCGGCUAGAUAAGUCAGUGGUGAAAUUCUCUCGCUAAACGAGAGACCUGCCAUUGAUACUGUCUUGGCUAGAGUUACAGUGAGGUGAGUGGAAUGUGUAGUGUAGCGGUGAAAUGCAUAGAUAUUACACAGAACACCGAUUGCGAAGGCAGCUCGCUAACUGUAUACUGACGCUGAUGGACGAAAGCGUGGGGAGCAAACAGGAUUAGAAACCCUAGUAGUCC